GAAUGGAGCAACAUUCAUUGUCUAAAUGGACCGAUACAGAGAAGAUUAGCAUGGCCCCUAUGCAAGGAUGACACACAAAUUCGUGAAGCGUUCCAUAUUUGU